UACACUCAUCCCUGCCAUUAGCAUUCAGGACCAAUCUUCUAUAGCCUAUACGCCACACUGGUCUAGGACAGCACCUAAAUAAUACUCAUGCUAUAAAAAAUUCAUCAAGUUAUAUAUUUUUAAAAACAUCCCUAAAAUUAUCUUUUUCCUUUACUGAAAAGAAUUUCAGGAUCCCCUCUCUCUCACUGCCUCUCUUCACACACACCUACCUUAGUUGGUCACCUAUUUUGUAAACAUAUCUUCUUUAAAAAAAGAAAGAAAUGGCAGUACAUGAAAAACUGCUUCGUAAACAGAAACUAUAUUAUUUAUAUUUGUAGCAUUUUUUUCCCCUUGAGGUUAAUUUCCUUUGCUUCCCAUAACUGGAAGCCAAUGAUUCAGUGCCAUUAUAUAAGCUUAUUUUCCCUCUUGGAAAUAGUAAAUUAUAAGAGGUUUGACCCAAAAAUAUACAUCAAAAUUAGGCAGUAUUCGGUGUUUAGCCUCCAUCUGCCUUGUCUUCUUGUCUUUAGUUGUGCAAGUAGAUGCUGAUGAUUUCUGGCAGAGCUAAAGUAAGUAAAUCAUGUGAAUUUAUUUUUUUUCCUCAUAAAACAGAUGGCAUGGUCUAGCUCUGGGCUUGUAUGUUUCAUGAAGUACAUGGGUCUGAGUGCGUAUUUAUUUUGUGAGCCAAGGUUUAUGCCUUCUUCUAUAAUUUUCUUUCACCGAAAAUUACCUGGAGAGCUAGAAACUCCAUUUGUGUCAGUGUAAGAAGCUUUAGAAUCUAUAUCCAGACCAAGGCCAUGGAACAAUGUAGAUUCACUCAGUAAAAACUCACUAGCGGCCUUCUUUGUACUAGUCUGUCACCUUUGCUUGGCUUUGGGAAGCUUCAAACUAGGGCAGUUUAUGUUUGGGAGUGACCAGUCAAAUAGCAAGACAGACAUAGGCAAGGAUGUAAUUUUUAAAAAUUUAAGUGGGGAAUGGUGAAGCAUGAAUCAAAACAGAAGGUAGUCUUACCUUCUUGGAACUGUAAAAUAAAUACAUUUGAAAAAGGCACCCUCUCAACCUUCUGCGAGUCAGAAUUUUUGCUGCCACCCCUCAUUUUGAAUCUCUAUUCUGCAUUUUUUAUUCUUUUUUUUAGGAAGGAGGAAGAAAAAUUUCUCCUGAAGAAUUCAUUGGAAAUUAAAAUUAACUUGCGUAUUUUGUAUUCUUUGGAAUGUGAUGAAGACUGAUUUGAAAGGGCAGUGCUGGAUUUGGUCAGGCAUAGGAAAGGAAGACAUGCAGUCGUCCUGCCUAGCUCAUCCCCGCCACGAUGGAGAAGUGGGGUUGCUUUCGUUGUACUUUUUUUCAUUUGUUUCUUGCCAAGCCCAGUGGCUUCUGUUAUAACAUGUGGCAGCUUCUCCCUUGGAGACUGAUUCAGUCCAAGUUACCAUAAUAUUUAGGACCAGCUACAGAGACGUUUCUUCCCCUAAACCCAUGCCAAAUCUAAAUCAAACUAUCUUCUUCUCCUUAGCCGUUCAAAUAGCUCCAGCUCUUAUAUAAAAAUACGAGAAAUACACAGGCCUCUUUUCGUUUUAUUCCUGUUCAAACAGAUAAACAAACAAGGCACAUCAUGCCUAGGUUGCUUUGAGCUUGAUCACUUCCUCCUAAAGCAGUCUUACGCUGUGUUGAUUUUAAGAAUUGCAACUUAGGUGUUCUAGAACAUAUUCUGAGAGCAUAGUCAUAGUCUGUGAUCUCAGAAUAUGUUUGCUUCCUUCUAGAACAUCUGAGUUCUAGAAAUUGCGUACAAUAAACUGCUGUCAGUGCUGCUGGAGGAAGGAAGAGUAACUCUGACAUCACUGGCCUUCAACAGGUGUGGCGCUGAGCUUCUGGGCCUCAGAAGCCCUGACUUCUAGAGGCUGGGGGCCAGCGGGGCAGGGAGGUGAUCUCAUCAUGGAUGGCCACAGAUCAUCCACCUGCCAAACAGUUAACCCUGAACAAGUCAUGUCAAUUUAUUUUGCUUUUAAAAAAGAAAGUCUGCAAAAUAGA
ensembl:lncRNA novel transcript